AUGGGUGCUGGCCUCUAUGGCUACCUAGAUCAAACAAUUGAAGAACCACAAAAAACCCUCACCACCAAGAACGCCGAAGGGAAGGAUCAGGUUGCCUCAAACCCUGCCUACUCCCAAUGGCUCAUCCAAGACCAAUAGAUCGUCGCUUACCUCCUCAAAAAUCUAUCCAAAGAAGUACUUGUCCAAGUUGCUUCGCUUGAAAAAUCGCAUGCGAUAUGGACCGCGCUCGGGAACAUGUUCUCGGACAUGUCUCUCUCGCGCGCCAACAACAUACGGGUCGCCAUCACCAAUGCC
rnacentral:rRNA from 1 species